rnacentral:rRNA from 1 species
CCUACGGGUCGCAGCAGUGGGGAAUAUUGGACAAUGGGCGAAAGCCUGAUCCAGCCAUGCCGCGUGUGUGAAGAAGGCCUUCGGGUUGUAAAGCACUUUCAGUGGGGAAGAAAGCCUUGGGGCUAAUACCCUCGAGGAAGGACAUCACCCACAGAAGAAGCACCGGCUAACUCCGUGCCAGCAGCCGCGGUAAUACGGAGGGUGCGAGCGUUAAUCGGAAUUACUGGGCGUAAAGCGCGCGUAGGCGGUCUGAUAAGCCGGUUGUGAAAGCCCCGGGCUCAACCUGGGAACGGCAUCCGGAACUGUCAGGCUAGAGUGCAGGAGAGGAAGGUAGAAUUCCCGGUGUAGCGGUGAAAUGCGUAGAGAUCGGGAGGAAUACCAGUGGCGAAGGCGGCCUUCUGGACCGACACUGACGCUGAGGUGCGAAAGCGUGGGUAGCAAACAGGAUUAGAUACCCUGGUAGUC